rnacentral:rRNA from 1 species
CCGCGGCCUAUCAGCUUGUUGGUGGGGUGAUGGCCUACCAAGGCGACGACGGGUAGCCGGCSUGAGAGGGCGACCGGCCACACUGGGACUGAGAURCGGCCCAGACUCCUACGGGAGGCAGCAGUGGGGAAUAUUGCGCAAUGGGCGGAAGCCUGACGCAGCGACGCCGCGUGGGGGAUGACGGCCUUCGGGUUGUAAACCUCUUUCGACCGGGACGAAGCGUGAGUGACGGUACCGGUAGAAGAAGCACCGGCCAACUACGUGCCAGCAGCCGCGGUAAUACGUAGGGUGCGAGCGUUGUCCGGAAUUAUUGGGCGUAAAGAGCUCGUAGGCGGUGUGUCACGUCGAUCGUGAAAACGUACAGCUUAACUGUGCGCGUGCGGUCGAUACGGGCAUCACUGGAGUUCGGCAGGGGAGACUGGAAUUCCUGGUGUAGCGGUGAAAUGCGCAGAUAUCAGGAGGAACACCGGUGGCGAAGGCGGGUCUCUGGGCCGAUACUGACGCUGAGGAGCGAAAGCGUGGGGAGCGAACAGGAUUAGAUACCCUGGUAGUCCACGCCGUAAACGGUGGGCGCUAGGUGUGGGGAUCAUUCCACGGUCUCUGUGCCGCAGCUAACGCAUUAAGCGCCCCGCCUGGGGAGUACGGCCGCAAGGCUAAAACUCAAAGGAAUUGACGGGGGCCCGCACAAGCGGCGGA